rnacentral:lncRNA from 1 species
GUAAAGUUCUAUCACUCCCAUAUGGAUCAGUUUUUCUCUCAAUGGACCAUCUUUAGCUGUCUGUCGAGCUUCUUCAAUGCUUAAUGGACCAUUAGUUUCCUUUUCGAUCUUCUCUCUCUCUUUUGCUCUUCUUGAAUAUUCAUGAAAGGAUUGUUUAAUUUUUACAUGAUCUUCAUGUGACUCUUUUGGUGAUAAAGGCGUAAGGACAUGAUUUAAACCAUCCUUUCGCAAUGAAUAUCGAUUGGUGCGACCGCUAUGUUGUACCUAUCUGUCAACUGCCAAGGUCUCCCAAGUAUCAGGUGACUAGCAUGCAUACGUACAAUAUCAUAACAUACCUCGUCAUGAUAUUCUCCGAUUGAGAACGACACUAUGACUUGCUUGGUAACUUGGGUUUCACCACACUCAUUCGACCACUGUAACCGGCAGGGAGUCAGAUGUUUGAUGCAUGUCAACCCUGCUCUUUCUAUGAAUAAAGUGUUUGCCACAUUAGCACAGCUACCACUGUCAAUGAUCAUUUCACAUACCUUACCAUUGACAAGACAUCACGUGUGGAAAAUGUUCUCCCUUUACUCAUUGUCUUCACUCCUAACUUGCACAUUGAUAGCUCUUUGGACAACAAAGACAUUACUCCCAAGUUGAGCAUCUUCGAUGGAUUGAGACAUAGUGUAGUACCUAUAAGAAAGGUUAGUGAAAAGAAAAUAUUCUCUCCCUCACCUUCCCUCGGGUUUACUUGAUAAUCUCUCAAUUGACAGCUUUAUCUGUCGAGUUAAGCAUCUAAAAUUAGAAUCACUUGAAUCAAGUCUGCACGUUAGUGCUUACGACACAACAAGGAACCCUAAAAAGAUUUGAUUUCUACAGAAUGUCAGAAACAAACACACAGAAAAAGGAACAGUGUGUCUAUUUGUGUUAAACAACUAGUAUCGAUUAGUCACUUAAUUUUAUAACAGAACAAAAGUAAAAUAAAAAAAAUGUAGAUCAUAAAGAUUGACAAGACGGACUGAUGCAUAGGGAUUCGAUCAAUUCCAAUGGACAUAAUCUGUAAGUGUAUCUACUUAUACUACUAAUUUGUCAGCUACACUCUACAACCGGUCAAGUUUCUUCGUACAACGUAGAUGCAAGAUUAUAGAAAUACAAUUCAAAAAUUAAACAUGAAUAAUGUGUAGAUGAAAACAAAAAUUUUCGCUCGCACCUGUUAUGUAACGUACUUUGCCUUCGAUUUCUCAAAGGAUUUCCAGUUACCAAUCAGGCGGCUAUUCUGCUUUUACUAUGCAAAAUACAAACAAUGUGCUAAUUGUCUUAUGGGAU